rnacentral:piRNA from 2 species
ACCAGUGAUGUGAUGAUUCUGCC